rnacentral:rRNA from 1 species
AAUCGAAGCAGUGAACUUAAGCCCCAGUAAACGGCGGCCGUAACUAUAACGGUCCUAAGGUAGCGAAAUUCCUUGUCGGGUAAGUUCCGACCCGCACGAAAGGCGUAACGAUUUGGGCACUGUCUCAACAACAGACUCGGUGAAAUUGUAAUUCCGGUGAAGAUGCCGGAUACCUGCGACAGGACGGAAAGACCCCAUGGAGCUUUACUGUAGCUUGACAUUGGGUUUUGGUACUACAUGUACAGGAUAGGUGGGAGGCUUUGAAACCAGGACGCCAGUUUUGGCGGAGCCAUCCUUGGGAUACCACCCUUGUAGUACUGGGACUCUAACCAUAGGCCAUGAAUCUGGUCUUGG